rnacentral:rRNA from 1 species
UACGAAGGGGGCAAGCGUUGUUCGGAAUCACUGGGCGUAAAGCGUGCGCAGGCGGACCUGUAAGUCAGGGGUGAAAUCCCGGGGCUCAACCUCGGAACUGCCUUUGAUACUGCGGGUCUAGAGACCGAGAGAGGAUGGCGGAAUUCCCAGUGUAGAGGUGAAAUUCGUAGAUAUUGGGAGGAACACCAGUGGCGUAGGCGGCCAUCUGGCUCGGUACUGACGCUCAUGCACGAAAGCGUGGGGAGCAAACAGG